rfam:Candida auris strain 6684 Scaffold28, whole genome shotgun sequence.
GCAUUAGUAGCUUAAUUGGUUAGAGCCUUAUAUUGUCACUAUAAGAGAUGUCAGUUCGAAUCUGAUGUAAUGCG